GGAGGGAUGGCAGAGCGGUUGAAUGCGACGGUCUUGAAAACCGUUAACUCGCAAGGGUUCGGGGGUUCGAAUCCCCCUCCCUCCG
rnacentral:tRNA from 1 species